GCCCGUGUGGAGUAGUGGUUUGAGUGCUGGGCUGUGGCUCUGGAGGACAGGGUUUGAAUCCCUGCUCAACCA